rnacentral:rRNA from 1 species
GACGAACGCUGGCGGCGUGCUUAACACAUGCAAGUCGAACGGAAAGGCCCUGCUUUUGUGGGGUGCUCGAGUGGCGAACGGGUGAGUAACACGUGAGUAACCUGCCCUUGACUUUGGGAUAACUUCAGGAAACUGGGGCUAAUACCGGAUAGGAGCUCCUGCUGCAUGGUGGGGGUUGGAAAGUUUAGGCGGUUGGGGAUGGACUCGGGGCUUAUCAGCUUGUUGGUGGGGUAGUUGCUUACCAAGGCUUUGACGGGUAGCCGGCCUGAGAGGGUGGACGGCGACAUGGGGACUGAGAGACGGAGCAGACGGCUACGGGAGGCAGCAGUGGGGAAUAUUGCACAAUGGGCGGAAGCCUGAUGCAGCAACGCCGCGUGCGGGAUGACGGCCUUCGGGUUGUAAACCGCUUUCGCCUGUGACGAAGCGUGAGUGACGGUAAUGGGUAAAGAAGCACCGGCUAACUACGUG